UCCAGGGUAGCCUAGUGAACAUGGUAUUUGGUCGGUAAGCAUAACACUGUGGGUUUGAUUCCCAUUCCUGGAC